GACGAACGCUGGCGGCGUGCUUAACACAUGCAAGUCGAACGGAAAGGCCCUGCUUUUGUGGGGUGCUCGAGUGGCGACCGGGUGAGUAACACGUGAGUAACCUGCCCUUGACUUUGGGAUAACUUCAUGAAACUGGGGCUAAUACCGGAUAGGAGCUCCUGCUGCAUGGUGGGGGUUGGAAAGUUUCGGCGGUUGGGGAUGGACUCGCGGCUUAUCAGCUUGUUGGUGGGGUAGUGGCUUACCAAGGCUUUGACGGGUAGCCGGCCUGAGAGGGUGACCGGCCACAUUGGGACUGAGAUACGGCCCAGACUUCUACGGGAGGCAGCAGUGGGGAAGAGUGCACAAGGGGCGGAAGCCUGAUGCAGCAAAGCAGCGUGCGGGAUGACGGCAUGCGGGUUGGAAACCGCUUUCGCCUGUGACGAAGCGUGAGUGACGGUAAUGGGUAAAGAAGCACCGGCUAACUACGUG
rnacentral:rRNA from 1 species